AGAGUUUGAUCAUGGCUCAGAUUGAACGCUGGCGGCGUGCCUAACACAUGCAAGUCGAGCGGUAACAGGCGUAGCAAUACGUGCUGACGAGCGGCGAACGGGUGAGUAACGCUUCGGAAUCUGCCCAAUGGUGGGGAAUAACCAGCCGAAAGGUUGGCUAAUACCGCAUGAGUGGAGGACGGGGAGUCGGCGAAGACCGU
rnacentral:rRNA from 1 species